rnacentral:rRNA from 1 species
UUAACCGAAUAGGGGAGCCGUAGGGAAACCGAGUCUUAACCGGGCGUUAAGUUGCAGGGUAUAGACCCGAAACCCGGUGAUCUAGCCAUGGGCAGGUUGAAGGUUGGGUAACACUAACUGGAGGACCGAACCGACUAAUGUUGAAAAAUUAGCGGAUGACCUGUGGCUGGGGGUGAAAGGCCAAUCAAACCGGGAGAUAGCUGGUUCUCCCCGAAAGCUAUUUAGGUAGCGCCUCGUGAAUUCAUCUCCGGGGGUAGAGCACUGUUUCGGCUAGGGGGCCAUCCCGGCUUACCAACCCGAUGCAAACUGCGAAUACCGGAGAAUGUUAUCACGGGAGACACACGGCGGGUGCUAACGUCCGUCGUGAAGAGGGAAACAACCCAGACCGCCAGCUAAGGUCCCAAAGUCAUGGUUAAGUGGGAAACGAUGUGGGAAGGCCCAGACAGCCAGGAUGUUGGCUUAGAAGCAGCCAUCAUUUAAAGAAAGCGUAAUAGCUCACUGGUCGAGUCGGCCUGCGCGGAAGAUGUAACGGGGCUAAACCAU